rnacentral:rRNA from 1 species
GACGAACGCUAGCGGCAGGCUUAAUACAUGCAAGUCGAGGGACAGCACAGGUAGCAAUACUGGGUGGUAACCGGCAAACGGGUGCGGAACACGUACACAACCUUCCUUUAAGUGGGGGAUAGCCCAGAGAAAUUUGGAUUAAUACCCCGUAAUAUAGUUGAAUGGCAUCAUUUGAUUAUUAUAGCUACGGCGCUUAAUGAUGGGUGUGCGGCUGAUUAGAUAGUUGGCGGGGUAACGGCCCACCAAGUCUACGAUCAGUAGCUGAUGUGAGAGCAUGAUCAGCCACACGGGCACCGAGACACGGGCCCGACUCCUACGGGAGGCAGCAGUAAGGAAUAUUGGUCAAUGGACGCAAGUCUGAACCAGCCAUGCCGCGUGAAGGAUUAAGGUCCUCUGGAUUGUAAACUUCUUUUAUUUGGGACGAAAAAGGGCCUUUCUAGGUCAACUGACGGUACCAGAUGAAUAAGCACCGGCUAACUCCGUGCCAGCAGCCGCCGUAACAC